AUUCCAUGGUGAGGCCAGCUUCCAAUGUAUCCUUUCAAACGCUCCCAAGCUUCACUUAGAAAUUCUUGACCACAUUUCCUAAAGGAGUUUAUAUCACUUCUGUACU
rfam:Arabis alpina cultivar Pajares Aa.chr8_contig_3546, whole genome shotgun sequence.